UACGUAGGGGGCAAGCGUUGUCCGGAUUUACUGGGCGUAAAGAGCGCGUAGGCGGAAAUUUAAGCGUGGCCUGAAAGCCCCCGGCUCAACCGGGGAGUGCGGCUGCGAACUGGGUUUCUUGAGGACGAUAGAGGAGAGUGGAAUUCCUGGUGUAGCGGUGAAAUGCGUAGAUAUCAGGAGGAACACCCGAGGCGAAGGCGGCUCUCUGGGUCGUACCUGACGCUGAAGCACGAAAGCGUGGGGAGCAAACAGG
rnacentral:rRNA from 1 species